UUUUUAGACCUUCCUGGAGGAGUUUGCUACAUAACCGAUAACCCGCGAAAAACCUCCCCAACUCUUGAAAAUUCAGUAUGUAUACCAUCGUCGUCAGUCUACCUCAUAAGAGAAGUAUACUAAAUGAGUCUUACUCAUUACGCCAGAUCGAGGUGCAGCUUAUGGGUUGGAAACUAGUGAACUACAAUAUCUUCCCGAACCGCUUCGAAAAACAAUUAUGGAUAAUAUUAUGAAACUUAAUACUCAAAAUAGGAUUCAGCAGUAAUACUCAAAAGAAAAUGAGUAUGAAAAAAGCUCUAAAAUGCGC
rnacentral:rRNA from 1 species